UGACCACCUACUAUAUGCCAGGCCAAGUGCUGGGAUGGGAGUUAUAAAAACAGAUCAGAUACAAUCUCUCCCUCGGGACACUCCCUCCAACACAUCUGAGGUCUAAGCUCUUGGAAACCCCAGAGCCAGCAAAGUCUUUUAAGACACCAAAGCGUGGAGCCAUAAUGGUGGCCUGGCAGGCGGCGGGCGGACUUCCCCCUCCAGUUCCUGCCUGCUGGGUGGGUUGAGACUCACAGCGCGGGGGUGGCCCCUGGCGUGGAUCCCUGUGACGAGGCCUGGCCCACAUUGCAUUGCUCACAAUCGGAGGCACCAGAAUUCCUGCCCUCGAAGUCCGCGUCCCAUCAUGGUGCCAGGCUUUCUCUGUGCGCUGGGCAAGCAUUAUAAAGAGGCACAAGGAUGAUAUAUUCAUUAUCUUG